AUUGAAUUAUUUAGUGAGGUCUCGGACGUGAUCACUGUGACGCAUGUGUGUGCGUUGUUUCGCAAAAGUUGACGAACUGAUAUUAGAGAGUAAAGUCGUAACAAGGUUUCCGUAGGUGAACCUGCGGAAGGAUCAUUA
rnacentral:ncRNA from 1 species